rnacentral:tRNA from 1 species
GGAAGGGUGGCAGAGUGGCCGAAUGUACCGGUCUUGAAAACCGGAGUCUCCUUACGGGGACCGUGGGUUCGAAUCCCACCCCUUCCG